CCCCCAACAAACUUCUCCUCGUCGCACAAUAAACAUUCCGAUACCAUUUGCUCCAAAGAGAAUCGUUCACGCGAUCGCACCUUCGACCGCAUUUUUAUCGUUGUAUGAAUUAACACGACGCGACGUGUGUGUACUUACCAUUCGAGUAGUUCGUGUCGCAGACAGUGGUCCCGCGGCGUUAUUUAUUUAGCGCGACUAUUCCGUUUCCGUGGCUCCUACGGCUAGUCCACGUUUCCCAGUGUUUCGCCUUCGGUCGUUGAAUCGGUAACGACGAUUGUUCGGUACGCAAGUCCCAAAGGGAUUCUUGCGGCACUCGCGAUCAGCUGUGCUCGUGUACACCAAGAGGGAAACAAGAAACCAACAACCACUCGGUCACGCAAAGAAGAGAAGGCGAACAAGAAAAGGCAGAAGCGGAAGAAGAAGACCACGACCACGACGACGACGACGACGAAGAAGAAUAAAGAGGAAAAGAUCACUCUCACAAUAGCACAACGCGUUUUAAGGUUACAAAGGAUUUCCUGUUUCCUGCACCGUGGAUGACCCUAUCAACGAACUGCAGUUGCACGUCACUGUUGCAGCUGCAGCUCCUCCAUGCUCGCGAAGCGGAUCGCGAACCGUGGCUGCGUAAUGCGAAGGGAACGAAAGAAAAUGAGCGAACAACGCGAAACCGCUAGGAGGAAAUGGUUUCAGUUCAACGAUCUUUGAAGAAAGGAUGCCCAUACUUGUAAGUUCAGUGUAAUGAAAACAUCAUCUACAACUAAGGAAUAACGAUUCCUUGAAAGUAAACUCCGUCAUGGUAAAUUCAAUUAUAAACACAUAAUAUACGUUCAGUUAGCUUGCUUUAUAACUCACUGCAGCUGUCUAUUUUAAUAGUGUGAGUGAUUUACACAUUCGCGUUCAUUGCAUGUUAUGCGAAUAUGUACAUCGUAAGAAAGAAACUGUGAGAUAGGAAUGCCUGAAAGACUAUAAAAUUAAUUUACACAAAGCUAUUUAAACCGACGUAACAACAAGCAGAUAAUUGGAUAAUCCCGACGUAAUCUUGACGCAAUUUUUUAAACGAAGUAACACAUUCUUUGGUCUAAUAGAUUGAAAAAUCUUUGCGGAUUGACAUACAUGUCUACCAAUGAAUAAUAUACUGCUUCCUUAAUACUAUGAUUUAUUUUAAUGAAAAAUUAAAUCAAAACGAAGAAUAAUCACAUAUUUGUCUGAAAAAAUAAAUAAUUUAUCGUUAAGAGAAUUAGUAUCAUUUGCGUUUUAAGGUGACAUGUAUAUAACAUAGUUCACCGGUUAACUGAAUAUGUAUGACCAGUAUCCAAAUCAGAUAAAAAUGUGAAAUAAACUUGGAAUAGUACGUAUAUGGAACAGAGUUAUAUUGGAAAAUGAUUUUGAAUCGAGCAUACAUUUAUUUCCAAAAUUGUUGUCUACGAUAUAAAUGUACCCUCCAUAGUUUCGUCGUUCAAAGAAGCAGGAAGCAAAAAUAUUAAUUAAAUCAGAGUUAUAGUUGGAAAUGAUUUUAACUCGUUCACAUAUUUAUUCCCAGAAUUUUUGUCUAUGAUAUAAAUUUAGCCCCGGUAGUUCCGUUGAGCGAAGAACCAGACAAAGCACGAAGAAACGCAAGCGUGUUCUCCAGAAACAGCGCCAGGAAAAUUAAGUUUAACGAGCUGUUCGUUUCAAGAGGGCGUAUAAAAGACCGAUAAAAGGAAGCUGUAGAAUGCGUAAGUAAAAACUACAAGAUGGCACUUUUCUGUAAUCAUAAAGGUCUCUUUCAACGGCGACCUUCUUUGAACCGCGCGCACAGCUGGCGACUGACACUGGUAAUUAGGAGAUUAAUUAAUUAAU